rnacentral:tRNA from 1 species
GCUAGUUUAGCAUAUUAAGUGCGUGGAAUUGUAGCUUCUGAUGUGGUAUAAUGCAUACCAGCUAGAA